rnacentral:rRNA from 1 species
GAUGAACGCUGGCGGCGUGCUUAACACAUGCAAGUCGAACGAAGCACUUUAUUUGAUUUCCUUCGGGACUGAUUAUUUUGUGACUGAGUGGCGGACGGGUGAGUAACGCGUGGGUAACCUGCCUUGUACAGGGGGAUAACAGUUGGAAACGGCUGCUAAUACCGCAUAAGCGCACAGCAUCGCAUGAUGCAGUGUGAAAAACUCCGGUGGUAUAAGAUGGACCCGCGUUGGAUUAGCUAGUUGGUGAGGUAACGGCCCACCAAGGCGACGAUCCAUAGCCGACCUGAGAGGGUGACCGGCCACAUUGGGACUGAGACACGGCCCAAACUCCUACGGGAGGCAGCAGUGGGGAAUAUUGCACAAUGGGCGAAAGCCUGAUGCAGCGACGCCGCGUGAGCGAAGAAGUAUUUCGGUAUGUAAAGCUCUAUCAGCAGGGAAGAUAAUGACGGUACCUGACUAAGAAGCACCGGCUAAAUACGU